UUGGUUUUUCGAUGGACAUCUCAUUUCCCGUCAAUUCAUACAAUGGGUUAUUUCGAGUACGCACUCCCGCGAACCUCAUAUCUUAUGGUGGAAUUGCCAAAUCAGGCUAAAUUCCCCGUAAUACAAACUCAUAGAGUAAAUGUCGGGAUUACCAGUUCAAGCUAAAUUCCCUUACAACAACAUAUACUCUAAUGAGCUCAGAUCUGAAUUACCAGUCUAGGCUAAAUUCAGACCCUACUUCGGAUUACCCGUCCGGGUUAAAUCCUUAAGGCACACAUAUUCUUCGGAAGGCUAGAUCACUUUAAGAUCACCUGUCCGGGCUAGAUCCUUGUCACCGUCAAUUCAUUUUCGAGAUGUUCCAUCGAGUAACCC
rnacentral:lncRNA from 1 species